UACGGAGGGUGCAAGCGUUGUCCGGAUUUACUGGGUGUAAAGGGCGUGUAGGCGGGAAGAUAUGUCGGGAGUGAAAUCGUACGGCUUAACCGUAGCAACUGCUUCCGAAACUGUUUUUCUUGAAUGCGGGAGAGGCGGAUGGAAUUCCAGGUGUAGCGGUGGAAUGCGUAGAUAUCUGGAAGAACACCAGUGGCGAAGGCGGUCCGCUGGCCCGUGAUUGACGCUGAGGCGCGAAAGUGUGGGGAGCAAACAGG
rnacentral:rRNA from 1 species